rnacentral:rRNA from 1 species
UACGGAGGGGGCAAGCGUUGUUCGGAGUUACUGGGCGUAAAGCGCGCGUAGGCGGUGCGGUAAGUCAGGGGUUAAAGGCUGCAGCUCAACUGCAGUAAGGCCUUUGAUACUAUCGUGCUAGAGUGUCAGAGAGGAUGGCGGAAUUCCCGGUGUAGCGGUGAAAUGCGUAGAUAUCGGGAGGAAGGCCGGUGGCGAAGGCGGCCUCCUGGGCCUGCACUGACGCUGAGGCGCGAAAGCGUGGGGAGCAAACAGG